CUCCUUCUUAGGUAGUAGGUGAUGCUUGUUUCCUUCUCCCAUUGAAGUCUGCCGGGUAACUAAUGAGCUAGUAACAUUUAUCUUUACUUUUUCCUUUCAUCUUGCAAUGUUCACAAAAUAGACUGUAAUUCCUUUUAUUCUUCAAAAGUAAACCUCCUUUUAUUGCUGAACUCUGCGAAGCUGUAAUGCAAUUUCCCUCAGCAAUUGAGUUUAUCCUAGUGUGUGAUGAGGUUCAUGGCAAAACCUCAUUUUACUGUUGAACUCUGCGAAGAUGUAAUGCCAUUUCCCUCAGAAAUUGAGUUCAUCCUAGUGUGUGAUGAGGUUCUUGGCGUACUCUUUUCACUUUCAUGUUCAACAAUUAGAGUAAGCCUGAUUCAAAGUAGUUUCCACUGAUUUCAUUAGAUUCUACCUUCUAGCUUGUGAAUUGGAAUCAUUCAGUCCACUUAGAAACUGUAAUAGCCUCUGCC
rnacentral:lncRNA from 1 species